GCAUUUAUGGUGUAACGGUCAGCACACUCGGCGCGUAUUCGAGAGAUUUGAGGUUCGAGUCCCAUCGAGGGCA
rnacentral:tRNA from 1 species